rnacentral:rRNA from 1 species
AGAGUUUGAUCAUGGCUCAGGACGAACGCUGGCGGCGUGCCUAAUACAUGCAAGUCGAACGGGGCCCAACCGGUGGCAACACCGGGGAAGGUCUAGUGGCGAACGGGUGCGUAACACGUGAGCAACCUGCCCCGAAGACCGGGAUAACACCGGGAAACCGAUGCUAAUACCGGAUACCCCCACGUGCCCACAUGGGCGCA